rnacentral:snRNA from 1 species
AUACCUUUCUCGGCCUUUUUGGCUAAGAUCAAGUGUAGUAUCUGUUCUUAUCAAUUUAAUAUCUGAUACGUGAGCCGUUGGCUCACACGAUAUUAACUCAAUUUUUUUGAGGGGAAGGUUCAUUAAAGUAGCUUGCUACUUGAGCUUUCAUGUGUCGCCUUGGCGUUGCACUAAAGCCUUGGCCUGGCAAACCCUAC